GGAAGAGGAGCCAUUUCUCCGCGCUGACCGAUCUCCUCCUUGCAGCUCCCACUUCCCCGGAAUCGAGGGGACUCCUCUGCUUAGUUCUGAGCCAUGCUGGAUAUUUUCAUCCUCAUGUUCUUUGCCAUCAUAGGCCUGGUGGUUCUGUCCUACAUAAUUUACCUGCUCUAGUGGCCUGGAGCUGCAGGGGCUGGCUGCGAGGGGAAGGAUGGAGAUGAAGGGCCGAGCAUCCUGCUUGCUGACGCACCGGUGGAGUUUUGCUUCUGGUCAUUAUUCGGCUCCUGUGUCGGGUCCAGCAAGAGGCCUCUUCCCACCAGCAGCAAUCCUGAGGCCCAUCUGACCUCCUCCAGUGUAUCCGGAUGUGGCUGACCCUUGGCAUGAAGGCAUUCUGUGAGGCAGGGGCACUCCUGGGGACACCAGGAGUUAGUCCAAGAACGCCAGCCACUGGCAGCUGCUGCAUGCGAUUGAGCUGUAGACAGCCAGUAUUGAGAAUAUGGAAGGUUGGGACAGUGAAGUCAGAGUGGAGAAUGGCCAAACAUUCAUAUGGUUAGCCUUUCCUUAGGUCUAAAUGCAACUGCACAUGAUGCUAAAAUAUUCUUUCCUUUCUGCUUCACAAGCAGGCAUUCCCUUGUAACCCCAAGAGCAAACACUGAUCGGUAAUUUACAGUUUGUACAGCCUAAGGUUGUGUGGUUUCCCUUGAUCUACAACCCACCUCCACCCUCAAAACUCCCGUUAUUUGCAUUCUUUAAGAUUUAUCAUUUCUUCCCUCCUUUUCUCAUUUGCUCCAGCUCCUUAGUUGAUUAGAGGCACAGGACUGUAAAGUCCUUAUUCUUCUUGCCUACCUAUAAAGCAUUGAAACAAAAUGGCUAUAUUAAUUUAGAAGAAAAAAUUUAUCCUAAAUAGAAGGGUUUGAAAACUUUUUUAAAAAUUUUAAAUGUUCCUUUAUCUUAAAAAAACAAAACAAAACAAAACAAAAACCUGUUAUUUCCUUGUCCAAUUAAGGUUGAAAAAAACUGUGUUUUAGGAUACAGAGUGGAUUUGACCCCAAAUCUGUGGUAUCUAUUAUUCCCUUAAAGACUCUAUCAUAAUUGUUUUGGCAUUGAUUUUCUUUUUUUUUUUUAGGUUAAAAUAAAUAAGGAAAAAAGAAUGAA